UGGGGUGACCAGCCAUCUCAGUUUGCCUGAGACUGAGGAGUUUCCUGGGACAUGGGGUUUUUCAAAACUAAAAUCAGGUCAAGUCCCAGGCAAACCAGGACAGUUGGUCACACUACUCCUAG
rnacentral:pre_miRNA from 1 species